AAGACGCUACUGGAUGGUGGCUAACAGACUGAAACACUCAUCAUUCAAUCAUGCUUCUCCAGAAUUGUAGGUACUCAGAAACGCAUUACACCCAGCAAAUUCUAAGAAAACACAGGUACGUGGCUGGGAGGGCUUAACAGUAAACAUUGCUGGCUUGUUUAAGGAAACUAAAAUGCCACACGCAAUCGUUAAACUUACUUCCCCAAUCGAGCUGGUGGAAAAAAACAAUUAAACUCAUUGUUUAGGCCUGAUGGAGGAUGCAUAUUGAGAAGUGAAGCAUCUUGUUUCCUUGUCAUCAGAGUGCCGAUCUGGUACUUCUGAGAAAGUGGCUAAAAGCUUUUGGACAUUUCAGUUAUCUUGAAAACCUGAGUUCACCUGACUGGUGUUAGAGAAUGUGGGGGAACUCCAACAGUAUCGCACAAGUCUGAGAACCAGUAAGAUUUAACAUGACAAUUAACAUUAGUUUUGUUCUCAUUCACACAUCUUGUCUGACUAGCCACAUGACAGUUUGUUUUGCAGGUGAAUGUCCCCAUGGAAACCGCAAGGAUGUGUUUUAUACUUCUUGACUACGAUGCCGACCCAAACGCAAGCAUCGCUGAUUCACCAUGGUUCCAUCUGUGAAGCUCUAAUGGGAAUUCUUUUUCUGGAUUGAUGAAGAAAACAAAUUCUGCGGCCAACAAAUUCUUGAUGUUAGUCUACAAACAUAUUUUCUAUUUAAAUGCGACGCUACAAUGUAAUUGUCAUUUGAAUUUUUUUUUUUUUAAAUUAUUUGUAUUAUUAUCUUAUAGCAUCUUCUAGGGUGCUAAUGUUACAAGUUUUCAAGUUUGGAGUAAAAACAAUAACUAUAUUACAACAAAUUUUUCACAGUUACAAGUUUUUUUGUGUUUUGUGUUUGCCUACAGCGCGGCUCAUGAUCGUGCAGCUCUCUCGUUCAGAUAGCCUGCCGGUUUGUGGAUGGUGGUAGAUGUGAAUGGAGGAUGAGAUAUUUAGUGGUGGGGCAAAAUGUAGGUUUCUUUGUAAACUGUUAAGUAAUAUGUGACAAUGCGAUUUUGUAAACAGUGCUAAAAAAAUAAAUCUCGACUGACUGAU